CGAUUACUUCAUGGCUAUUUCUUCCUUCAAUUGAUGCUGGGAUGUACUUUGAUGUUCAGAUAAAUAAUAUCACAAGCAAAAAAAUAAAGAUUAACAACUAUGGUAUGCAAUGGCAAAUUCGAAUAAUAAACCUAAACACAAUGAAAGUUCCCCUACUGGCAGUCUCACGCCAUGAAAUACAACCAACAAUUUAGCAGCAAGACCAACAAUUUAGUAGCAAAAAUCGAAUAUCGAUGAACCGAAGAUGACAUGUGUUUGAUUGUUCGUAUAAACAAGUGUGGGGAGGUAAAAAUAAAUCUUUGAAAUCAUGAUUUAUAGUUAAACGUGGGCCAUAAUCAAGGCUGAUUAUUGAUCGGCGUUGAUGAAUAUUGAUUAUUGAUAAUGGAAAGGCUGAUAAGGCUGAGAUUAAAUGCUGAGACAACGACGAAGAGUGAGAUUACAGAGAUGUUAAAAGAGAAUGGGAAAGGAAAAUUGGGAGAUGAAGG
rnacentral:lncRNA from 1 species